GAGAAAGAGAAAGCGCAAAGUGAUAAAGAAUAUAAAUAAGUAAUACUAGAUAGUUCGUAGCUCGAAAACACCAAGUGCUGAAGAAACACGUAACCAAAGCGUAGGUCCAACAUCACGAUCAGGUAAAGUAAAUAAAGAGAGACAUAAAGAGAAAGAGAAAGCGCAAAGUGAUAAAGAAUAUAAAUAAGUAAUACUAGAUAGUUCGUAGCUCGAAAACACCAAGUGCUGAAGAAACACGUAACCAAAGCGUAGGUCCAACAUCACGAUCAGGUAAAGUAAAUAAAGAGAGACAUAAAGAGAAAGAGAAAGCGCAAAGUGAUAAAGAAUAUAAAUAAGUAAUACUAGAUAGUUCGUAGCUCGAAAACACCAAGUGCUGAAGAAACACGUAACCAAAGCGUAGGUCCAACAUCACGAUCAGGUAAAGUAAAUAAAGAGAGACAUAAAGAGAAAGAGAAAGCGCAAAGUGAUAAAGAAUAUAAAUAAGUAAUACUAGAUAGUUCGUAGCUCGAAAACACCAAGUGCUGAAGAAACACGUAACCAAAGCGUAGGUCCAACAUCACGAUCAGGUAAAGUAAAUAAAGAGAGACAUAAAGAGAAAGAGAAAGCGCAAAGUGAUAAAGAAUAUAAAUAAGUAAUACUAGAUAGUUCGUAGCUCGAAAACACCAAGUGCUGAAGAAACACGUAACCAAAGCGUAGGUCCAACAUCACGAUCAGGUAAAGUAAAUAAAGAGAGACAUAAAGAGAAAGAGAAAGCGCAAAGUGAUAAAGAAUAUAAAUAAGUAAUACUAGAUAGUUCGUAGCUCGAAAACACCAAGUGCUGAAGAAACACGUAACCAAAGCGUAGGUCCAACAUCACGAUCAGGUAAAGUAAAUAAAGAGAGACAUAAAGAGAAAGAGAAAGCGCAAAGUGAUAAAGAAUAUAAAUAAGUAAUACUAGAUAGUUCGUAGCUCGAAAACACCAAGUGCUGAAGAAACACGUAACCAAAGCGUAGGUCCAACAUCACGAUCAGGUAAAGUAAAUAAAGAGAGACAUAAAGAGAAAGAGAAAGCGCAAAGUGAUAAAGAAUAUAAAUAAGUAAUACUAGAUAGUUCGUAGCUCGAAAACACCAAGUGCUGAAGAAACACGUAACCAAAGCGUAGGUCCAACAUCACGAUCAGGUAAAGUAAAUAAAGAGAGACAUAAAGAGAAAGAGAAAGCGCAAAGUGAUAAAGAAUAUAAAUAAGUAAUACUAGAUAGUUCGUAGCUCGAAAACACCAAGUGCUGAAGAAACACGUAACCAAAGCGUAGGUCCAACAUCACGAUCAGGUAAAGUAAAUAAAGAGAGACAUAAAGAGAAAGAGAAAGCGCAAAGUGAUAAAGAAUAUAAAUAAGUAAUACUAGAUAGUUCGUAGCUCGAAAACACCAAGUGCUGAAGAAACACGUAACCAAAGCGUAGGUCCAACAUCACGAUCAGGUAAAGUAAAUAAAGAGAGACAUAAAGAGAAAGAGAAAGCGCAAAGUGAUAAAGAAUAUAAAUAAGUAAUACUAGAUAGUUCGUAGCUCGAAAACACCAAGUGCUGAAGAAACACGUAACCAAAGCGUAGGUCCAACAUCACGAUCAGGUAAAGUAAAUAAAGAGAGACAUAAAGAGAAAGAGAAAGCGCAAAGUGAUAAAGAAUAUAAAUAAGUAAUACUAGAUAGUUCGUAGCUCGAAAACACCAAGUGCUGAAGAAACACGUAACCAAAGCGUAGGUCCAACAUCACGAUCAGGUAAAGUAAAUAAAGAGAGACAUAAAGAGAAAGAGAAAGCGCAAAGUGAUAAAGAAUAUAAAUAAGUAAUACUAGAUAGUUCGUAGCUCGAAAACACCAAGUGCUGAAGAAACACGUAACCAAAGCGUAGGUCCAACAUCACGAUCAGGUAAAGUAAAUAAAGAGAGACAUAAAGAGAAAGAGAAAGCGCAAAGUGAUAAAGAAUAUAAAUAAGUAAUACUAGAUAGUUCGUAGCUCGAAAACACCAAGUGCUGAAGAAACACGUAACCAAAGCGUAGGUCCAACAUCACGAUCAGGUAAAGUAAAUAAAGAGAGACAUAAAGAGAAAGAGAAAGCGCAAAGUGAUAAAGAAUAUAAAUAAGUAAUACUAGAUAGUUCGUAGCUCGAAAACACCAAGUGCUGAAGAAACACGUAACCAAAGCUUAGGUCCAACAUCACGAUCAGGUAAAGUCAGCAAAGUUAGAAAAAUAGAAGGCGCAAGCCCCCAAAAAA
rnacentral:lncRNA from 1 species